rnacentral:rRNA from 1 species
UACGUAGGGUGCGAGCGUUAAUCGGAAUUACUGGGCGUAAAGCGUGCGCAGGCGGUCUGUUAAGACCGAUGUGAAAUCCCCGGGCUUAACCUGGGAACUGCAUUGGUGACUGGCAGGCUUUGAGUGUGGCAGAGGGGGGUAGGAUUCCACGUGUAGCAGUGAAAUGCGUAGAGAUGUGGAGGAAUACCGAGGGCGAAGGCAGCCCCCUGGGCCAACACUGACGCUCAUGCACGAAAGCGUGGGGAGCAAACAGG